AAAAUAUCGUUGGAUUUAUUAAUUAAAAAAUUAAGCGGUUGUGAUGGUUUAAUUGUUAUGGAUUGAAAGAGUCCUUGCAAAUUUACACCUUGACCCCAAGUUCCUCUCUCCACCAGCAUUUCCUCCUCUUGCACUUUUUUGCUUUUUCUCUCUCUGCAUAAACAGAGAAGCGUUACAGCGGUACCUCAACAUACCGAACAUGUUCUAGCAUCGACGAUAGCGUAUCUGGCUUGGCACGCGGCGCAGAAGGAGAGAGUGAAACGGCAUUUGAUUUCUUAUUUAAUUUGAUGUUGAGCUUGCUUUUGUUGGUUCGUUCGUGAUGGAAGUGGGGAGUGAAGUAUGUCUCCAAGGGCAUCGCAUAAAGAGUGUGGAGGGGUGGGAUCAAUUUUCAAAUAUAAAAAAAUAGUGAUAACAAGUGUAGAUUUCAAUUGCCACUUUUAUGAAUAGAACAAGUUUAAAAUCGUCCCUCACGGUCACGGGUGUAGCACUAAAGCAGAAACUUGACCCUAGAACGCGUUUCAAAGUGAACGGAGUCUAAGGUGUGAGAUUAAAAGAUAUUUCGCAGGUUGUGAAACAAAAAAUAAAUUGCUUUUAAUUGUUAGAUUUAUUAAUAAAUGGAUGAGAUUGAUUCCUCAAUUUUCUUCCUUCCCAUUUUAUCCUUGUACCUUUCUAUCUUCCUUCCCCUCUUCUCUAUCAAAACGAAAAAACUCAACCGUCGACCAUUCUGGCUGGUCUUUUCAACACGGAUCAUCGUGCGCUGCGAUUGCCGUCCACCCCCUUCAUCUCGUCUUGACACCUCAUUCCAACCAAAUCCAAGGGCGAACGAAAUCAUAUCACCAUCGCUUGCCAAAAAAAAAAAUGUUUUGCUUGCAUACCGUGUGUAAAAUGUUUUGCUUGCGCACGAUAGACUGUGUCUUCAAAGUGAGUGUUACUUAAUAGCUGUUGGUCAGUUGGUCAGUGUUGUGGGUGUUAGUGAAGAAUACCUUAUAAAGGACCAACAGGGGUGAAACUAUUUUGUUGAGUAAAAAUACAAGUAAUAUUAGUGUAGUGUGUAUAUAAAAAUCUAGUCUUUUUUCUUUCAUUCGAGUAAUGUACGUUGUAUAUUCCAGUCAACCUAGACACUUACGAGCCACGGUAUUACAAUAUAACCAACGUGUACACUAUAUUUUAUCAAAUACAGUCUAUUUAUCCUUUCAUUUGUUAUUCUGGCUUCUAGUUUGGUCCAAAUUAGUUGGAAAUAAAAUCGGAGAAAGCAAACAACAUCAUGUAAUCAACAAGGUCAUGGGAAAUGGAGCACGAUGAGUGCAUCAGUUGUGGCGGUUUUAUUGGGUUCAAGAGAAACCAAAGUGAUAGGAGAUUCAGAUUCAGAGGAGUUGUUUGAGAUAAAUCUGAAGAAGCCUUUGGAUGCAAUAUUAAGAGAAGACUGCGAGAGCAUUCUGUUCUCUCUUGAUAUUGACAACGGCGUCGGCAAUGAUGGUGGUGAUGAUGUUGUUUAUGUGGCAGUAGGCAACGAUGGAGAUUCGAGCACGGAGGCUCUUUCAUGGGCCUCGAAGCACGCCAUGACACCCUCUGCCACCGUUUGAAUCGUACACGUUUUUCCUCAAGUCAAGCUCAUUCCAAGUCCAUGUUAAGGUGGAGAUGAAGCUCAUUGAAGGUGACAAUGCUGCCAGAGCCAUCGUGGACCUUGUCGAAAAUCUUAAUAUAAGGAAAUUGGUUAUUGGAAUUACUCAAUCUAAUUUAAGGAACCGUGUCCGCGAUCCAUAUAUGUGACACUAAAUUCAUAGUAACAGCAUUUAACUUCUAAUUGUUUUAUUUUUAUUUUUUGGAUGAGUAGAAAAUCUGGGUCUAGAAGUCAAAAUUCCAUAGCGGCCAAGGUAUUAAAAACUGCACAGGGUAGCUGUGACAUAAAAAUCAUAUGCGAAGGAAGAGAAGUGAUCGACCAGAUGAUGAGUGAUUGCACUUCACCACGCUCCGGCUCCAUGGACGUCAAAGGGAGUUCGAGAGUUUCACAGCAAAAAAAUGAAUCCCGUGGAUUUGUCCUUUUAAGCAUUUUAUGUCCAGUUUAUGGUUAUUUAGGUCCAUCACCAGGAUGAGAUGAGUAAAUAUAUGCAUAAGAAGCACCCAAGGAAAAAUCAUAUACUAACUGAAAAAUGAUGUUAGUAAUUAAUCUUGUUUUCAUUAUUA